CGUGGCAGUGUGGUACAUCCAGUACAACGGGUCUGGAGCUGUCUGAGGAAACCAGUGGCUUCAACCAGACUGUGUCCACGUCUGCUGGCUUCCGGAGGCGCGUGGUGCGGCCCGAUCUCGGUUUGGUGACUGAUCUCGGUGACCCAGCUGUCGCUCUCCCUCUGUGGCCAAUGAAUCCUCAGCCCCAGCUCUCGCACUGCAUCCGUCAACAGUCAGUGUGACUGAAAGACAGCUUGACAGCGGGCGAGCCACUGCAUCGCCGGGCGCAGUGGCGGCAACGCUGAAUCACACUUCUUCAUUCGGAAACCAGCAGCUUUGUAAAAGGACUCGUCCUUUGUGGUUUAUUUUUUCUUUUGCCUCAUCACCAGAUUAUGAACAAUGAAAGCUUAGGUGCUGCAUGGUCCUGACUUGCUGUCAUUAUGGCCAUUCUCCUAUUGUGCUGUGUGUGUCCUCACAGACUUGUUACUGCUCCAGCCUCCUGGCUUCGCAUGGUCAUCACCUUGGUAACUUGAUGACAUCCACAAUCGUGUGUGUGUGUGUGUGUGUGUGUGUGUGUGUGUGUGUGUGUGUGUGUGUGUGUGUGUGUGUGUGUGUGUGUGUGUGUGUGUGUGUGUGUGUGUGUGUGUGUGUGUGUGUGUGUGUGUGUGUGUGUGUGUGUGUGUGUGUGUGUGUGUGUGUGCGCACCUGUCAGAUGUGACAGACUGUACUGUACCCGAGUCAGUCAGGAACAGCAUGAAUUUCUAGUGAGCUUCAUUUUCCAUGUACUUCUAGUCAAUUACAGUUUCCAUGCUCGUGUGGAGGCAUCUACCUAUUGGGAAACAGCAUCCAAAGGAAAAUGUAAUCAAGCUGAUGAAUUCAUCAUAUUUGACAACCGCACAACACUCGAAAGCAUAGCUGCCAAUAUUAGAAAUAUUGUUUUCCUCUGAUCUAAUCUAUCUAAUAUCUAAUAUAUGUUGCAGAUACAAGUAUGAUUAUGGUUGAUUGAUGUCAACACUCUGCGUGCGCCUUUUGAUUUGUUCUCAUCAGAGUCAUAAAAGCUCCUUUUUUAAAUGUAAUCGCCUUGCUUCCAACCUUGGGCGUGAGCGGAUGCAGGGAUAUAGUGAACUCAGUAGACGUUCAACCAUCGAGUUGUCUUUCUCUUUCUUUAGAUUAAGCUCUGCUCGUCUCCAGCUCCGGCUCCUGCUGUCUCCUCACCUUCUCGGAAUGCGAUGUGUGUUUGCCACCUUCCCUGGUAAUUACCUGGUGAUGAAGCAUGUGGGCAGGAGAUGAAGGAGAUAAGCCUGGACCAGACUGGCUCAGGUCACCAGACCUUCACAACGUCCUGCAGAGCUUUGUGGACGAUUCACAAAUCUUCGACUGAGAGCUGAGAAACGGCCGACGUCUGCAAAAAUGAACAAAGAGGGCAGUAAUUUGACAGAAUCGACUUUGAGAAAAUCAACACGGCUCAUUGUGUGGACUUGAAGUGUUAGAAUCAAUGAAAUGAAUGGGAGACGAGAGUUGGAUGGGGAGACGCAGAUGGUGGUUUUGGCUGCGUCAGUCGAGGGCUGCAGAGACGAUAAUGGCUCCAGCCCGCAUCAUUUACAGCUUGUUAAAAUCUGCUGUUCCUCAAACUGUCUCCAUAUGGGUCGUAUAAGAUAUUCCUAACAAAAGCAGCUUUCUCCUGAAGACUGUCAUAUGUCAUCAGUGGCACAGUGCGUAUGAACGCGUUCCUCCACGAACGCAGUUGUUGCUGUAACCACUAAUAUACUGCUUCUCUCGUUGUGUUUAGGUUAGAGCAUAAUCCCUCGCUGAUAAUCGCUGAUCUCUGAAUAUGAAGUGGAUUUCAUGACUGCAUUCAUGAACGUUGUCCUUCCACGUCUGUGUUGUUCUAAGAAGUGGUCCGGAGGCGGUAAUUCAUCCUAAACAAAGCAGGAUGUUGGCGAGUGGCUUUAGAGCUCCUGCAGCCGAGCCCGGUUUAUCAGAGGGGGGGGCACGACGCUGAUGAUGCAGAAGUGAGGAAACACAGAGAUCAGAGCACCGGUCCAGAGAAAAAUGGAGGCCUCUGAAGAAAGAUGGAUGUUGGCGUGAUGGAGGAGACCGCACAGCUGGAGAGCUGAUUCUUCUAAAGGUGUAAUGAUUCUGAGGCAGAAAGUCAACUAUGACCGCUGCUGAAAGAGCCUUUUGUGCCUGUUGUGUGUCGCUCGAUGUUUGUCUGUGUCUGCUGUGUGCUGACGCCACCUACUGGAUAAAUUCUUGCCUUGCACUGCUUUAUCGACAUGUUGUCUCUAUGCACUGAACAACACUUUCCUUUUGUCCCAGCGAUUUAUAGCACUUUGCAAUAACUGCUGCCUCUGUGGACACAUACGGUGAAGACAAUAUCCUGCAACACAAUGGGCUCCAGUUCUAAAUUUGCCCACACCGCUGAUGUUUUGACUGGGGCCCAGAUCAGCUGAUAAGUCAGCAGGGCCAAACAGGUGGUGGGUGUCCUUUCACAGCCGCACACCUGCCCGUCUCUCGGAUUCCGAACGAAUCGCACCCGCGCGUACUUCACCCGUGUCGGUGUCCGUUCUUGGCCGUCCCGCGUUUUUGAAAAGGCAAAUCUAAACGCGGAGGGAACAAAGGGCGCACUGUGUCGGCUGGGGAUGUUCGUCACCUGCGGUAACACUAUGAUGUAGUGGAGCUGGGAUUACAUGGGUUCAGGAAUGUGAAGGGUGACAGCUCGGACAAGAUGACUAUUGUUGAGGGUAACACCUGAACUGGUAGCAGAGGUGAAAAGUGAUCAGGACGUGGGGAAACGGCCAAUCUCUGUCUGAGAAGUCUGUCAAUAUUUGAUUUUUCUGUCUUAAAAGGGUCAAAUGAAUAAUAUAUAGAACAUAGACGCCACAGCGGAGGUGGUUACUACAGGUCAUCUAUUAUGUAGGUGUUUAUAGUUGCAUGUGCAAGUUGUAAGUUUUGUAUAACUGAUAUACACGUUCUUCAAAAGUUCUUGCAGCUGUUCCCCCGAAAUCAGCCCCACAGAUCUAGGCAGAAACUUUAUGAGGACUGAAUAGUAUGUCUGUCUUUAUUUCCAGGCCAGAUGGGACACAUUAGGGAGUGGACCUGGUUAAAUAUACAGAACCGCUCCUUGCAGCAGGUUGGUGCCCUGUGCUUUAGGUGGGCAGCUGCCGGGUGCUUCAGAUCUUUCUAUUUUAAAAACACGGAAAACCGCGGAAUAACAUUCAGAGGCCUGAGAAAUGUCCUUCACACAUAUGUAAGGUGCACGCCGCGCCGGCCGUUAAAGGGGAGCGUGAAUAGAGCAAUUGAGAGACGGGAGAAACCUGUGGAAUGCACUGGUAAACCACUGUCCAGAUGUUGAGUGGCAGGACAGGAGUGAUAUGGGCAGCGGCGUGUGGAGGACGGCGGACUUUGAUGUGGCGAGGACAUAGAGGGAAACAAACGACGACAUGAUUAUCUGCUUUACUGCAUAAACGGGUCCUGAAAUGUUUAUAUGUUAAUGUCAAGCUUCUAUUCAACACAGAUGAGACGUCGCCUGUACACACAGAACGUGUGUGUGUGUGUGUGUGUGUGUGUGUGUGUCUGUGUGUGUGUGUGUGUGUGUCCAUCCAUGUUUUCUUUAACAAGUAGUUGCUUGUGCGUUGCUUUGCGGCGUAUUGUAGUUAUUAAAGUCAGCAAGAAAGGAGUCUUUGUCACGGUCAUCAUCUAAACCCAGUCACACGGGCCAUCUUGUGCCAGAGAUCCCGACUCGUUUUCACCACGGCAUUCCUGGGCUGUUUGGUAGGCCCAUAGGGGUCGGUUCCCUCCCUCCAGCUACUCGUGUCUGGAUUCUUCCUUCCAACUUCCUGCGUCCUGAUCAUUCAUCUCCCGUCGAGGUUGAGGAAUUUGUAAUAUAAUGGGGUGAAGCCCUGUCCAGGUGGUUUUAUAUGAAAUUCAAAAUUUCCGUCCACACUCUGUUCACUUUCCCAUUUUUCUGUGAAUGUGGUGUUGCUCCCUGCAAUGUUUCAUUGACUGACAAACAAACAGGCCAUUCAUGGGACAGCGAGUCUUCCCAAGAAACUCAACCUUAUGUUUAUGCAUUCUUCCAGUCAAAGAGCCCGUUUGCGGUCGAGCUAUUUCAAUUUCCCAUGUUUCACUCUCUCUCUCUCUCUCGUUGUUUGUCUCAAAUAUUUUUCCAAGCUUCUUCCUCCUCACUCCUGCUUCCGUCUCGUGUGUCGUCCUGGUUCACGUACCCUGUAUCCUAAUGCAUUCGUUAGGCUAUAAGUCAUAAUCCAUGGGUAGAUGGGUUGUAAUUGAUCCUGGGGCAGGCUAAAUUACAGCCCACCUGGGGAACGCGGCUGACUGGGUUUAGCGCGCUCGAGGCCUGUUAUUUUUAGAUUUACCUUGUCCUGAAGCCGGUGUCAGUCAUUGUCAGUUUAAAAGCUGGGCGUGCCUGCUGCACAUAAUGCUCAUGUUUGUUAAACGAGUCAGAUGCGAUACCACAGUUACGACAGCAUGUUUGUUUGAUUUCUUCAGUGUUUUAAUUGCAGGCGAGCGAGCAAACACACGGAGGAGACGGACCGCGUCAGGGACCAGGCAGCUUGGUUUGUCGGUGAUCAUCACCACCCCUGAUCACUGCCUGUGCUUUCAGUUUGUAGAAACAUGACUAAGUUAGAUGGCAUUUUUAAGGCACAGAGGCUGCACUACCUGGAAGGGCGAUAUGAGGACGCUAUCAAGUUCUGCCCACAGAUUUCUGAAUGGGCAGGUGGAUGGAAGCCCUCAAGCUUCGAAGUUUCAGGUUGCACACGAGGACUCCACUCUGCACCACAACUGAUUUAAAAAGAGAUGCCUCCAAAUGUUAAAAACCCUGUAUGUGGGUGACUAAGGUUUUGUUCUGUGGAAAACUGUCGCUCAUUAUGUCUGGCGGUGGGGAAAAAAAAGGGGACCCGGCUGGUGGUGGUGGCUCGGUGAUGCUCUGGGGCGGAUUUUUUUUUUUUUUUUUUUUUUUUUUUUUUUUUUUUGUCAUUCAUAAUCCAUUUUCUCGAAUUAUGUCUUAGCAUUUCUAUCAAUUCUGUCUGUUUUCUAGCCAGACCUAAUCUAUGGAUCUGACUUAAUCCGGGGGGGGGGGGUUAGCUCCUGCCUCAGCACGCUAGCUUCUGGUAGGGCCUGGGCAAAUGGCACACAUCCUUGUGACGCGCUGACUCCCUCGUGUGUUUGUCUUGGCAGAUACAGAUCUUCUUGGCUUCUGUUUGCUUUUUGUCUUCACGAUAAACUCCUUCACCUCCUGGUUAAGCGUGUCCAUACAAUAAAACACCUACAUACUGGUACGGGUCUUACCUACUGAGCCUUCUACUGUAUUGGUAUUGUAAUUCACAUGUCAGUACGAUCACAUAUUUGGCCUUUUACAAAUGUUUUGCUGGGUAAAAAGCGAUGGUUGCUUUCUCCCUUUUUUCCGUUCGUCUGACUAAUCUACAGAGGUCACAGAGAAAACAUGUCUUCCUUGGACUCCUCUACUGUGUUACUUCCUUAAUUCUUCUGUGGAAAUAUCUUGACAAACCUGGCUCCACAACUGCCAAGGCACAUUCUGUACUACAACAAGUAAUGUGCUGUGCCGUAUUUGAGUCUGGUUCAGCAGAAACAGGGAGACUCAGUUCCCCCGGCUGUGCAGGUGCUGGGAGAACACCUGCUGGGAGUCCUGGCCGAUCCACGCUGGGCCGGGCUUGUCUGGUGGAAAUCAGCACUCUAUCAGAAUUCAAAUUCGGCUUUUCCUUCCGUGAACCAGUGAGCUCACUCUGAACGCUCCAGCCACAGCUCCGGUCCCAGCUCCAGCCGCAACCUCCCCUAAGCCUCAGCCCCAACCUGGGCGUCAACCCUUUGACAGUUUAGAGAGCAAAAGGACUGCGCGAGCUGACCCAAACUUCCCAGGAUGAGAAAACUUUAAAUCUAAAUGUUAUUCUUCUGGCUCCUCAAAGGAUACAUUGUGUGGGGAUCCAGAAGGACAUACCAGGCUGUGAAAGAGGCUCUUUCUUGUUUUCUGCCCAUUGGCCCCCUCCCAGCCUCUCCGGGUCGGCCUGUCUCUCUCUGACAACAGCUGCUUGCUGCUUGUGGAGACUGGGGGUGAGCGGCGCAGCUCCAGACAUCUGUAGGCUCCGGGCCGCCUAGCUCUGGCUUUCUUUUUUGCGCACACAUACAUUGGAGCCCACAGUCUGUCCAGCACAAAGGACUACAUUCAUCCCCCUCAUACAGUCCACUGGUGAAGAGGUCGCCUGACGCUCCCGAGCUUUGCUGCUUUCUCUCCCUUUCUACAUCUCCCACCGUCCUCUCGGAUACUCCCUCGCUGCUCAGACUCUCUCCGUCCCGUUUCUUUCUUUCCGAGCAGCGGCCGUUCUUCCAUUCAUGCCGUUCAGAAUCAAAUAAUCAGCUGUGGUUAACCAGAAAGACAGCGAGGGCCACAGGUCUCAAUUAUAGGAGACAUAUUCUCCAUUCGAGGAAGCUCACUGACCUGCCUCUGGCUUUCGUUUGCGUCUAAACGUGGGUGUCUUUGAAUAAUAUGUGGGAAAGUGAACGCUUGUGUGUCUCACUGUGUGAGUUUUACCUCCUAACCCUGAGAACGGGCAUUCCAGUGCAGAGGACUUGCCGACUAAGUUCACAAAGGGAUACUGAGAGAGGCCUGAGCGAACAGAGAUCCUUUGUACAGAAUGAAUGUGGCCAUGAGAAGUUUGGGAACGACGUGGGUUCAGAAGCAUCACAAAGUUGCCUGUAAAACCGCAUCCACUGAUAGGAAGCGGGCCGCUUUUAAGGCAAGAACCUCAGUUUGGCCUUUAAAACAUAGGCAGCAUCUGUCGCUACAGUGUUGCUGUGGGAGCUCAACUAAAAUGGUGUUUAAAUCAGCGUUACGGUCAUCGUUCAUACUGUAUAAACGUGUGAUUGUGAAGAGUUUGUUCAUUUAACCUGCCUCCACUGUUUGUUUUUUUUAAAUGUUUCCUCUCAGACCUUUCAAAGUAGCUACGACUCUAGUUAAGUCCAUACUUGGGGACAUUUUUUGGAUGUUCUUGCUGGAGGACAAAACCUCCUUCAACUGCUUGUGCAAUAAAAUCUUGGGUUCCAUAAGCUGACCUGCCCUUUUACUUCUUUCUUCUGUUCCUACAGCACUAUAGUAUCUGUACUGUUGUUGUUGUUGUUCCUCAUCCGACCCAUAGGUGGCAGAUGUCUAUAUUUUAUGUUCCCUCAGGACUUUGGCUCCAUUGCAACUAUUUGAACUGGAUGACAUCAAAAGCCAUCACUUGUCUUCCAGUGUAUAAUGUCUGACUCACAGCAGUUGUACUUAUAGUUUACAAAGCUGGAGCACACUGACUCGCCUUUUAACUCUUGCUUCAGACUCACUUAGUGACCAUGACGGCGCUGCAGUAAACGCAAACACGGCAUG